UCGUCUCAGACACACCGGUAGCGACUGC
rnacentral:sRNA from 1 species